ensembl:lncRNA
AUUAAAUAUUGGGCAAUUCCUGCCCCGGUUACACAUGUUAUCACUUUACAUACAUUUUCCAUCUUUCAACAGUGCUUGGGUUACACAGACCGAUCAUUUGUAUACUCAAAACUAAAAGAUUAAAUACAGUACACUGAACUGAACUACAAACUCCCGUCUCCCUCCCACCCCCUUUCCCUUUUGGCACGAGCCCUGUCCCCAAACAACAAGGCAGGCCCGUAAUCGAACGAACUCUGUACAUAUAAUAACCAGUGAAAUCGUGCUCAAAUCUCACAGCACACAAACUUACAUAAUAAAAAUAAAAUAAAAUAAAUAAAUAAAAAUAACUAACAAUGCUAAGAUAUGAGAAUAUAAUACUGACGUAACAAAUGUAUUUACGCAAAAGUCAACAUAACAUAGCUUUCAAAACAGAAAGUUAGAUUCGUAAUUUCAGUCUUUAUCAGUCUUAGCAAGGUCAAUAUCUGUACCCCAACUAGCUUCUUGAUCAUUUAAAUCCGAUCCACAGUUAACGUUACUCACAUCAUGGACAUUUAGCCAAUGCUGCGAUAGAACUCCUCGGCUUCUUUGGGAGAUGAGAACAGGUAGAUCUUCUUGUCAUGCAGAAUUCGCAGUUUACAGGGUUGGACGAGGAAUCCGCGAUACAUCCACUGAUCUAUAAUAUAGAACUGGAUUGCUCAUGACGUCAUGAAAGUGAAGCCGCUACACCGCCAUAUUGGUAAUCCCUAGUGUGCGUAAAUGUUCUAUUGAAUUAAUAGGAAAUUGUAUGAUUUUAAUGAAAAAACAUCACCUAACAAGUCAGGGUUUAUAAAUCUGAAGUAUUUCUGUACAUUAUUAAAAUGCAAACACCCUAAGCAUGUAAACGGUUAUUUUUUUAAAUGUCGGGAAUUUCCCCUACUUAUUAAAAACCUACGUUCAUUACAGUAGCGAACAUCAUGAACAUGAUAAACAUCAGACGGACACGACCUCAACAUAUAAAACAAACGACAGAGAAAUAACUGACUAUAUACAGUACGGAUUUAAAGACAUAAAGCUUUAUUUCCAAGAUAGUAAGUUAAGCUUUUCAUUUCAUUAGAGCAACAUUAACAACAUAAUUGUAUUAUUUAUUGUAAUAUAUUCAAAUCCAUUUCUGAUACUAAUACAUUCAUGUUUAAUAAUUCCUGAAUAAUUAUGUUCAUAAAGAAAUAGGCUAUAUUUUGUGUUGGAUCGUUACCUGUGUCAUCAGUGCACAGCAGACACACCCACCUAAACGGUUUAAAUAUAUCGGUUAUAUUGCCCCAAAAGACCGUAAACACUGCAGAUAACAUCUGAAGUAAACAUUAAUUUACAUACACAUAACAUAAAAACUAGUCCCGUUUGACUGAUUUGCUUCAAAUCGGGUGAUUUUAGGACAGCGGUUUGAAUGUGACUCAAUGGUGCUUUUUGUCGGUUGGGAUUAGUAAGAUGGCGGAUCAAACACUUCCGGUGGCUUCACUGCCUGCUGGCAGUUUAGAACGCGAUGAGCGAUCCAGUCAUAUAUAGAUCAGUGGAUACAUCCCUUUUUCAACGAACAGUUUUUUGACAUUGUUAAACUUGCGGCGUUGUCGCAUAGUUUCAGGCAAAAAGUCCUCGGAGAAAUAUAGCCUCGCUCCAUCGUAGGUGAUUUCUCUACGUCUUGUUGACCGAAACACCAGUUCUUUUUCCUGAAAUUUAAGAAAGCGGAUGAGAACGGGUCUGUGUUGAUUUGGUUUGGCUGGGGCUAGUGUUCUGUGAUCCCGCUCCAGAGAGAACGGUGUGUCAGGUGUUGUGUCCGUCCACCGAGGCAGCAUGUCCUUAAUAAAGCGGCCUUGAGCCUUCUGCACCCUCACGGAGGCCAAAUAGUCAGAGAUUCUUUCUCCUGCUGUGGUUUUCUAAAUCUUCAACCUUUGCCUCCAGAAGAUUCAAGCGUUUAGAUGCUGGUG